UUUGAUCGAACUCUAAGCAACUGAAAUUAAUAACCAAGGAAAAGCCUAUUUACAAUCCAAAUGAAGACCUCUCGGUCUCUGAUAGACUAGGAUUAGAAUCGAGUACUUGAUGCUGCAGGCUCAGAGCGUGAGCAUGGAGAUGGCGGUCAACAUCUCGUCGCUGGGCGCGAGCAGCCUCAGCCGCUGCCGAUCCCCGGUGGCCCGGUCGUGGAGCAAGCGGAGGGCCCUCUCCCACCGGCCGUGCCGCCGGUGCAUGGCGCUGGCGGUGGCGUCGACGACGAAGACGCGGCCGAGGCGGAAGGCGAAGAGGCGGAGGGAGACCGCCAGGUCGGUGCAGGAGUUGGGGAGCCGGGCGGCGACGAAGGGGAGCUUCAGGGCGAAGGGGCAGAGGAGGGAGGCCAGGAUCUGGAAGCUGCUGUGGCCUCCGGCGAGGAGCUUGAGCUUGCCGACGAUGAGCAGGUGGACUCCCAUUGAUGGCCGCAGACCUCCCACUAUCCUCCUUCGUUGGGCUCGCAGUGUCACCACUCCCUUCUUGCUUAUCUGCUUCUAAUAGUGGAGGGGAAGAAAGCUGUGACAACUUGACGUCAACAUCAGAGUUGCCAUGUCGACAGGAGGAGAAGUAACAUUGGAGGAUAAUAUAUGUGAACGGACCAUAUAGCCCUUACCGACGCAUCAGGUAAAUGAGAAAGAUGAGUUGCUAUCAGCCGUACCUCGAUCUUCUCGCUCGUAGGUGCUGAAGCGGAUAAAAUGACAUGAUUUCUUCCCGUCAAUAUGGUUCAAGACAUAACUAGUAGAUCACAUAUGAUGAGAUUUGGCACUUAAUUGGAAGAACCUAUAGAUCGCAUGCUUAAUUCAAAGG
rnacentral:lncRNA from 1 species